UGGGGACACCGAGCACAGCUCUGGGGGGAGCUGCCCGGUGCUGGGGACGUGCGGUGUGGGCACCGAUCCCCUCCAGCUCCGUGCAGGAUGCGCCCUGGGGUCGUGGGGGCACCGUGCCUGGCGGAGCCACCGGUUGCUGCCCCCUGCUCGCGGUGGGGAUGUUUUAGGGACAAGCUGGGGUCUGGCUCAGCUCGUCCCAUCUUGUCCCGGGGCUCAGCCUCUCCUUCCUCAGCAGGCAGAGCUGCAGCUGCAGGAGUUCUCGCACUCCAUCUCCUCCUCCUCCUCGCUCAGCGGUACGUCCCGCGCCCCCGGCCGAGCCGAGAGGGGGUCCCGGGGUUGGGGGGGAGGGGGCCGCAUCGUGCCGGGGCUGAGCACCACGGGCGUCUCUCCCCCUUGUGCCGCAGACCUGGGCUGCACCAGCCCCAGCCUCUCGCUGCAGUCCCCGGUGCUGCCGGCGCUGAGCAGCUCCCUGUCGGAGAACGACCUCUCCAGCCCCGUGGAGCCACCGGCACCCCAAACACGAGGGCAGCUGCCGGUGCUGCCGGGCUCCCCUGCAGGCUCGGUGCAGACCUGGCCCCUGCUCUCCACAGCUCCCUCCUGGCUGACGGCAGCGCCGCUCUUCCCCCAAACGCCCCCUCCGAGCACCCCGGGGGCUCCCCCCGUUCCCCCUGCCCUCCCUCCCGCCCUCCCCUCGUCCCCCAUCCCCAGCAGCCCCGUGAGCCCCCCCGUGACCAGCGGACCCUGGUCCCCGACCACCCCGCUCCUGUCCCUGGCCAACGUCUUCUCCCUGGCGGUGAUGAGCGUGGCCCACACGCUGCUGCCCGCCGUCUCCUCCAUCGCCCCCUCGGGGGGCCACCUCUACCCCCCGCUGCUGCCUCGGCCCCAAAACCUCGUCCUGGGACCCCCUCGUUUUGUCUACCCUGA
rnacentral:lncRNA from 1 species